CUCUAUCAAAUAGGCUACCUUGACGUGGUGAUAGAGCUUUCAACUAAAUGCCUA
rnacentral:ribozyme from 1 species